CGGGUCGCGUCGAAUCUUGAGCCAGCACGAUGCCGACCGUGCCCGGCGGGUUGAGGUCGCUGCGCACGUCGGGCGGACCGCGACUUAAACUCGCCGUCGGCGCUGGCACCGGCACCGGAACGUCGACCUGUGCGACGACCGAGGCCACCAUGCGAAAUCCAUAGGGGCAGUGGUAGCCAGAGCCCACGGCCGCGUUGGCAAAGACGAGCCGCGUGCCGAUGCCGGCAACGAGGCGCGGGUCGCCGAUGCCCGAGCGUUGGAGCAGCGCAGGCGUGAGCGCCGACGCACACAGGACGACCCGUCGUCGGGCACGCGCGCGCACCGCCUUUGUGCCGCGCUCCAGGUAGACGACCCCGAGAGCGCGCGGGCGCGUCUCACCGCCUCCCAUAGUAGUGAUCUCUGACGAUGCCAAAUCAAACACCACCCGCUCGACCAGCGCACCGCCAACGACUGUCAGACGGCGACGGCGGCGGCAUAUUGCACAACGGUCCCUUUCCGCGUCGCGGCCCACAAAGGCAUCGCCGGCCGGCUGGCGGUUGAACCCGUGCGGCGGUCCGAGGCCGACGGCAAACUGCACGCGGCGCGCCACGCCAAACUCGGUCGGACCGUUGUGGUCGGCCACCUCGCGCACGCCAUAGACGCGGCCCGCCGCGCGCGCAAACGAAUCAGACAAUGCCUCCCACGCCGGCGGCAGAGCCCGCACGGCCACGCGUCCCUGUGUGCCGCGCGUCGGACAGUCGGGCACAUUGUCGUCGUCGUCGUAGUCGCCGCCGUCGCCGCCAUCGUCUCGUCCUUGCGCGUCCUCUGCGUACAUGUCGACAGCACCAUAGCGACAACGGUACCGGUCGCCAUCGUCCCACACAUUGACUUUUUCUUCUUCGUUUUUGCAAGUACGGUCAGGGCAGCGCCCAUUCGCAAUGCCGCGUCGACCAUCUUGGCGCCAGUCACGCCCUCUGUCGAGGCCAUCGUGGGCACAGGCAUGACCGCCAAAUACAUCGUGGCCGCCGGGGUCCCAUGGACGCCGCCGGCAUGCGCUCGCCAUGCCGGGCGCGGCGGCGCUCGCGGCAGUCGAUGACGAC
rnacentral:lncRNA from 1 species